rnacentral:lncRNA from 1 species
UCUGCAGCAGCAAUAGCAAAGGCAUAGAUGUCUCUUUCUUACUUUUCCAUUUCCGAGUUCUCACAAGCUAAAAGCUCUGUCUUGCAGAUAUGUCGCCCUGAUUCUUGAGUUUUCUAAAGCUUUCUGAGUUUACAUUCUAUUGGGAAACUUUCCCACACAGUUUCUGUAAAUAACGUGUUGUUUUGCAUUCCUCCAUGGGGGUGGAGAAACUUGAUGUACUAGUGCUUUGUCCAAUAUCUUUGGAGAGGUGGCCCAUUCACUCUCCAAUCCACUGUCACCUUUGGAGAAGUAUAAAAGUUAGAGUCAGAAAAUAAACUUUCUCUUUUGCCUUGCAAAGUAGCAGGUAGCUCGCGUUGUGGUUUCUCGUGUCCUAUAGCGACACAGAUACAACAUUGCUUGCUGAUGGCAACCAGGGAAGAAUAUCAGCUUCAUAUCCAUAUAUAGUUCUGUUGAAUUGGCCCGUUUUAAUUUGAUCUGUGUUGCUUAGAAUCCUUUUACACUGAAUUUUUAUGCUUUCUCCUUGGAUGAUAUGGUGGUAGAUGUGAGAAGGAAGGAGGUAACGGCUUGUCCCUCAUGUUUCUCUCUUGCCCCAGAGCACAAAACCAGCAUCAGUGUCUGCCCCAGCCACCUCUGCUCCUAGAGAAGAAUACAAAGAGGACCAAAUUGAGCAGUAUGACCGUGAGGCUCCAUCAGGGGUCACAGCAGAGCCUGAAUCUUCUGAGCCAAUGACAGAGACACCAGCAGUGUCUGCCCUGGCUCCCUCUCCUCCUGGAGAAGAAGCCAGAGAGGAGCAAAUUGAGGAGUAUGACCUUGAGGCUCAAUCAGGGGUCACACCAGAGCCCGAAUCUUCAGAGGCAGUAAGUGCCCUUUGUGGGUGGAGCUGUCUUUAGUGCAAGGCA